CUGGAAUGUUCUGUGAAAAUUCAAAGUUUUGACCUUUUUGCAUUGUUUCAAUGGUAACAACAGAUAUUUUGGAAAUUCCAACGCCAAAUUCCACAUGUUUCAAUGUUGCUCAUCGUUACUGUGAAGUUUCAUUAAGUUUUGAGCAUUUUGAUACUUUUGAAAUUUUUGGUGCAGUUUCCAUGGCAACAUAGUAGUUCCAAUGAGUACCAAAAUCAUCCAACACCUGUAUAUAGUGGGCACCUAC
rnacentral:lncRNA from 1 species